rnacentral:lncRNA from 1 species
AGGCUAUGAAUACUCCGACAAGAAGUCCAAGUCAAAGGGGAAGGACGUGAACGUGGUGGAAUUUGCUGUGGCCACAGGGGAUCAGGCUCUUUACAGGAGUGAGAACAUCCAACUCGAUUACAAAAACAACAUCCUCAAGGAGAGGGCCGAGCUGGUCCACAGCCCCCCACCCCCCAAGAACAUCGACUUGGACAAAGAAUUCAGGAAGGAGCACUGCAGAUAAGGUGAUCCUGGGCUCCUGGCUGGGCCAGCAGCUCUGCCAACUCCUGUCUGUCCACCUCAGAGGACUCCUGACCCCAUGCCUGGCCCCGCUUCCAGCGGCUGGUCCCGCUGUCCUGGAAUUUGGCUCGGACUCGUGCCGAAGGAGGCUGCUUCCAGACCCCUCUCCUCACGCCCAAGAGUGGGCUCCUUGGGACUCUGCCAGGGCUGCAGCCAUGCCCCCUGUGGCCGCCCUUGGCCCAUGCCCUUCCCUCCUGGCACAGCCUAGACCCCACUGAUGUGCACCAAAUCCCCAGGCUCUCCUGGCCUCUGCCUGCAGAGUUGGGGAAGGGCAGGAAGGCACUCUUGGAGGGGGUUUGGUGGGGAUUCCUGGAGCUGGCGUCAGCCGCAGGGCUGGCACUCCCACCCCUUCCUUUACCAGCCAGGCUGCCCUGCCGAGGGUUCUGCAUGGGAUGAGGGCUGUGCACCCCGGGUGGUGUUCCUCUGCACUGUGUCCAGCCACCUGGGGCUGCCCUGGGGCCCCGUCUCUGCCUCCCACCCUGCCCCAGCCCUGUUUCCAUCAGGCUGCCUUGACAGUCACUGGGCUCCACGUGACUUUUUUCUUUUUUGCUUUUUAGGGCCACACCCACAGCAUAUGGAGGUUCUCAGGCGAGGGGUCUGAUUGGAGCUACAGCUGCUGGCCUGCACCACAGCCCCAGCAACUCGGGAUCCCAGCCGCGUCUGCAACCUAUACCACGCCAGAUCCUUAAUCCACUGAGCAAGGCCUGGGACCGAACCUGUGUCCUCAUGGAUGCUAGUUGGAUUUGCUUCCGCUCUGCCAGAAUGGGAACGCCUUUGUGUGACUUUUGACCCUGACCCUCUUCCCUUAAGCCCCUCCCUGGGCCAGAGUCCGGGGAUGAGGCCUCAUCUGACUUCUUUUUUUGGCUGCGGACAGGAGGGAGUGAGGGUGGCUUGGGAGUGGUGCCGCUCCUGCCUCCCACGUCUGCUCAUCCUAGGGAACUGCCACCAUCACAAUAAAGACCACAUCUGACUU